rnacentral:rRNA from 1 species
UGCGUAGGCGGAUUAAUAAGUCAGUGGUGAAAUCUUUCGGCUCAACCGAGAAACUGCCAUUGAUACUGUUAAUCUUGAGUUCGGUUGAGGUAGGCGGAAUGUGUAAUGUAGCGGUGAAAUGCUUAGAUAUUACACAGAACACCAAUUGCGUAGGCAGCUUACUAGACCGACACUGACGCUGGGGCACGAAAGCGUGGGGAGCGAACAGGAUUAGAUACCCUGGUAGUCC